rnacentral:sRNA from 1 species
CACCGGCGAACGAAUAAGCCGAUGUCUGGAAAUCACGGCUCGUCCCCCGCCGCUUCCAGACAAUGGACAAGGGCCGCCCCGCCCCCCUUAUUGGCCCUUGUCCUAACAAUACGCCGCCAUGGCCUUCCCCUCCGGCCAUGGCGGCUUUUC